GGAGCAGGGCAGGUGCCUUUCCAGACGGCGUCGCAGGUGGAGGCCGGGGCGCCUAGGCUCGGCUCCCGGGGCAAGCAUGAGGAUCCACUGUCUUGCUGCCACCCAAGGAUCCACUUCUGACUGAUUUUAGCAGCAUAACAGCAUCAUGCAUUACGAUCCCUAAAGAGCAGCAGGUGGCCAGCAAGUGUUGCCAUAUUGAGCAGAACAUAGUGAUGAAGAUU